GGGCGUCCUCCAUCUCUUCAAAAUUAACAAAUUCCAUCACUUGGGUCAGAAUCAAGAUAUAAAGAUGGUGGGAAAUGGAAGAAACCCGAAGCAAAAUUGGGAAAUUUGGGUCUGCUCCUUGAAUGCCUCAGAGAAAUUUAGUUGAAUUUAUCUGUGAAAUUGUUGUUUUUUGUUCCUAAUGUGCUAUUGAAAGCUCUGGAGGCAGAUCACCCAAUAAUCGACUCCAAUUUCCAGACAAACACAAAGUCAUCUUCUCUGCAGGUUCUUCUCUACCAGGAGAAUAUGGAGUGCCGGGUGGCAGGAAGAGGAGGAAGAGCUCGUCAUGUCAAUGCCAAAAAAGCCUAAUUGGAAAGGAGAAUAUGGAGUGCCCGGUGGCAGGAAGAGGAGGAAGAGCUUGUCAUGUCAAUGCCAGAAAAGCCUAAUUGGAUAAUAUACAAUGAUAAAUGUAUUUACAGUUUCAGCGUGUUCCUUUCU
rnacentral:sRNA from 1 species